rnacentral:rRNA from 1 species
AUUGAACGCUAGCGGGAUGCCUUACACAUGCAAGUCGAACGGCAGCACGGACUUCGGUCUGGUUGCGAGUGGCGAACGGGUGAGUAAUGUAUCGGAACGUGCCCAGUAGCGGGGGAUAACUACGCGAAAGCGUAGCUAAUACCGCAUACGCCCUACGGGGGAAAGCAGGGGAUCGCAAGACCUUGCACUAUUGGAGCGGCCGAUAUCGGAUUAGCUAGUUGGUGGGGUAACGGCUCACCAAGGCGACGAUCCGUAGCUGGUUUGAGAGGACGACCAGCCACACUGGGACUGAGACACGGCCCAGACUCCUACGGGAGGCAGCAGUGGGGAAUUUUGGACAAUGGGGGAAACCCUGAUCCAGCCAUCCCGCGUGUGCGAUGAAGGCCUUCGGGUUGUAAAGCACUUUUGGCAGGAAAGAAACGUCGCGGGUUAAUACCCCGCGAAACUGACGGUACCUGCAGAAUAAGCACCGGCUAACUACGUG